GGGGAUUUAGCUCAGUGGUAGAGCAAUUGCCUAGCAAGCAGUAGGGCCCUGAGUUCAAUCCUCA
rnacentral:tRNA from 1 species